rnacentral:rRNA from 1 species
AUUUAGAUGAUCAAAAAAUAAUUAAAGAUAGCCCAAAAAUUCAGUCUUUUUACGACGAAGAAUCGUCAAAAUUCUUUGAUUCUUUAAUCAACGGUCUUAACAUUAUGGGUAUAAAAUAUGAAUUAAACUCAAAUUUAGUUAGAGGUCUAGACUAUUACAGUCAUACUGCAUUUGAAUACAGAACUGCAGAAAAUAAAGGACAAAACACAUUAUUAGCUGGCGGAAGAUAUGACAGACUUGUAAGAAUGUUGGGUGGGAAUGAUUCAACAGGAGUGGGCUGGGCUGCCGGAAUAGAGAGGAUAAUUUUAAGUUUAACUGCCCAAAAGUAUAAGAAUAAAAAGCUUGUUUCUAUCUUUUCAGACUCUAACGAACUUGAUCUUGAGAUUUUAAAAAUAAUGAAAAAUAUUAAUUUAAAAAAACAUAUUGCAAUUAACUUUUUAAAUUCUGGUAACUUUAAAAAAAAAUUAUCUAAAGCUAACAAAAUUAAUUCAGAUGUUUGUAUUAUAAUUAGCGAAGAAGAAUGGAAAGAAAAUAAACUAAUAUGGAAAGAUUUAANAAAAGAAACCCAUGAAUUAUUACCUGUUGAAAAAUUAGAACAACUUUUAAAUGAAAAAAUUAAGUAUUAAAUGAACCUUAAGCAAGAUAAUUUUUCAUCGAAGCCAAAGCGAAAGCAUGUCUGAUAAGGGCUCUCGUCCCUUCUUCUAGACCCGAACCCAGGUGAUCUAACCAUGACCAGAAUGAAGCUUUGGUGAUACGAAGUGGAGGUUCGAACCGACCGAUGUUGAAAAAUCGACGGAUGAGUUGUGGUUAGGGGUGAAAUGCCAAUCGAACUUGGAGCUAGCUGGUUCUCCUCGAAAUGCGUUGAGGCGCAGCGGUUGAUUAUGGGCUUCUAGGGGGUAAAGCGCUGUCUCGGUGCGGGCUGCGAAAGCGGUACCAAUCUGUUGCAAACUCGGAAUACCUAGAACGCUUUCAAUCGGCCAGUGAGACUGCGGGGGAUAAGCUCCGUAGUCAAAAGGGAAACAGCCCAGACCACCAGCUAAGGCUCCUAAAUAAAAGCUAAGUGGCAAAGGAGGUAAAAAUGCAGUGACAAUCAGGAGGUUUGCCUAGAAGCAGCCACCCUUUAAAGAGUGCGUAAUAGCUCACUGAUCAAGCGUUUUCGCGCCGAAAAUGACCGGAACUAAGUUUUUUGCCGAAGCUGUGGCUACAUCACAUAGAUGAUGUAGGGUAGAGGAGCGUUCCGUCCAGGGGGAAGCCAAGCGCGUAAGCCGCGGUCGACAGGACGGAAGUGAGAAUGUCAGAUUGAGUAACGUAAACAUUGGUGAGAAUCCAAUGCCCCGAAAACUCAAGGGUUCCUGCGCAAGGCUCGUCCGCGCAGGGUCAGUCAGGACCUAAGGUGAGGCCGAAAGGCGUAAUUGAUGGCAAGAAGGUUUAUAUUCCUUCACUAGUCUAGGCUUAGUCCUGAGGGACGAACAAAUAACACUCUACACAACAGCCAUACUUGGCAGUUUGGAUAAACCUGUUGUUGUUUGAUGCUAUUUAUUCCAAGAAAAGCUCAUUUGACUUUGAGUCUAGACUACCUGUACCGUAAACCGACACAGGUGAGUGGGUUGAAUAAACUAAGGGGAGCGAGAUAACUCUCUCUAAGGAACUCGGCAAAUUGGCUCUGUACCUUCGGAAGAAAGAGUGCCCCUCAGGGGGCCGCAGUGAAGAGAUCCAGGCGACUGUUUACCAAAAACACAGGUCUCCGCAAAGUCGUAAGACGACGUAUGGGGGCUGACACCUGCCCAGUGCCAGAAGGUUAAAGAAGUUGGUCAAUCUUUGAUGAAGCUAACAACUGAAGCCCUGGUGAACGGCGGCAGUAACUAUAACUGUCCUAAGGUAGCGAAAUUCCUUGUCGGGUAAGUUCCGACCCGCACGAAAGGUGUAACGAUCUGGAUACUGUCUCAGAGAGAGACUCGGUGAAAUAAAANUANCUGUGAAGAUGCGGNUUACCUGCACACGGACAGAAAGACCCUAUGAAGCUUUACUGUAACCUGGAAUUGCUUUCAAGCUUAUUUUGCGCAGCUUAGGUGGGAGGCUACGAACCUUUUCUUCCGGGAAGAGGGGAGCCAUCAGUGAGAUACCACUCUUGGUAAGCUAGAGCGCUCAGUCUUAACCGUUAUCCGGUAAGANGACAGUUUCAGGCGGGCAGUUUGACUGGGGCAGUCACCUCCCAAAAGGUAAUGGAGGUGUNCAAAGGUUCCCUCAGGCUGGACGGAAAUCAGCCAUAGAGUGUAAAAGCANAAGGGAGCUUGACUGCGAGACUGACAUGUCAAGCAGAGACGAAAGUCGGNUUUAGUGAUCCGACGGUGCUGUGUGGAAAGGCCGUCGCUCAACGGAUAAAAGUUACUCUAGGGAUAACAGGCUAAUCUCCCCCAAGAGUUCACAUCGACGGGGAGGUUUGGCACCUCGAUGUCGGCUCGUCGCAUCCUGGAGCGGAAGUACGUUCCAAGGGUUGGGCUGUUCGCCCAUAGAAAGCGGCACGCGAGCUGGGUUCAGAACGUCGUGAGACAGUUUGGUCCAUAUCCUGUGUAGGCGUUUAGAGCAUUGAAAGGAUCUCCCCUUUGUACGAGAGGACCAGGUGGGGACAGACCNCUAGUGUACCAGUUAUNCCGCCAGGGGUACACGCUGGGUAGCUAUGUCUGGAGUAAAUAACUGCUGAAAGCAUAUAAGUAGGAAGUUCACCUUAAGAUGAGUGCUCUUUUGUCUCAAACGAUCAACCUUCUAUGAAGGAUUGACAAAUGAAAGACAAGGAAGGUCACGGCAAGACGAGCCGUUUGAUAGGCAUGAAGUAGAAGUGCAGUAAUGCAUUCUGAAGCUGACAUGUGCUAAUAGACCGAGGGAUUUGAUU